AUGGAGCAGGGAGAGGCACUCCAAUCUGCACUGGUAUCCGCUGCUUCUGGUGCAUGUAAGCACUGGAAAUCCUGACUUCUUGCAUAAAAUAACAGGAAACGUGUCUUAUAUGAACACUGGGAGGGAGCAGAAGUUGCAGGUUGGCUUCCCUGCGGAGAGGCACAAAGUAGUAGAGAGUAUCCUGAUGGUGCACCAUUGUCAUUUCCAGUAGGCUUUGGUGGUAUUGUUAAUCUCCAACAUCUAACUUCUCCUCCCAACAGUAGCACAGAAACACUUAAUUCCUACCUAGCUAGACUAAGUCAGAUUGCCUCCAUCAAAGAGCUUGCUGUAGAAUGCACCAUUGAACAGAUCACUAUAGGAAUACAAUUUUGAAAUAGUGCAUGCUGAUCUUCCAAGCCAGGAACAUUAUACUUCACAAGUGGGAAGACAUUAACAUAAUGGGGAAGGGAGGCAGAAAAGAGAAGAAAGAUUUUUCCUAACUUCAAAACUGCCAGGGCUUAAACAGGUAUGUCCAAGUUCUCUCCUCCACCACCCCUGAGCAAAGAAAAGGUAUGAAAUGUCUUAUUUUUAAUUAAUUUUGUUAAUGAAAGGUAUAAUUAACAAAUUUAUGAUCUCACUGAAUAAGCUACCAAAUAAAAGUUGUUUUUUUGAUCA